rnacentral:rRNA from 1 species
UCCGACCUCAGAUCGGACGAGAUUACCCGCUGAAUUUAAGCAUAUAACUAAGCGGAGGAAAAGAAACUAACAAGGAUUUCCCCAGUAACGGCGAGUGAAGCGGGAAGAGCCCAGCACCGAAUCCCUCAGUGUCACGCUGACGGGAACUGUGGUGUGAGGGACGCCACCAGUCGCACCAGAGGGUACCGAAGUCCUCCUGAUCGGGGCUUCACCCAGAGCGGGUGUAAGGCCUUUGCUGGUACCUCUCUGUGCGGCCGCGAGCGUCUCAGGAGUCGGGUUGUUUGGGAAUGCAGCCCAAAGCGGGUGGUAAACUCCACCUAAGGCUAAAUACUGGCACGAGUCCGAUAGCGGGCAAGUACCGUGAGGGAAAGU